UUGAGACACACCUGAGAGAGAGAGGGUGAGAGAGCAUGAGGCCAGCAUUUGUUUGGGGUUUGAUUUGUGAAAAAUAUAAAAGCACCUAAAGGACUCUCAGACUGUGACAAACAAGAUUCUCCGCUCUGAUGAAAACAAGAUUGAACUGCUUGGCCUCAAUUCAACCAAAGCAUCGUGUCUGGAGGAAACCGCACGGGAUGUAAAGGACUUGUUGUCGCUGUGGAAGUGUGUCUCCUCUUCACACUGGAUCUCUGCAGCUCAGUCUGAGUGACUCUGUUACUGAGCCCCCGCUCCCCAGAAGGAAGUCAUGUGACAGGAGGCUGGUGAAUCAGUGAAGGCUAUGCCGUGACCAAAAACUAAUCAG